UCGGGUAUGGUGUAGCGGUAACAUCGGUGACUCUCAUUCAAUUGAAGUACUCACCAGCCCGGGGUUCGACUCCCCGUAUCCGAG
rnacentral:tRNA from 2 species